UACGUAGGCAGCGAGCGUUGUUCGGAGUUACUGGGCGUAAAGGGUGUGUAGGCGGUUGUUUAAGCUUGGUGUGAAAUCUCCCGGCUCAACUGGGAGGGUGCGCCGAAUACUGAAUGACUAGAGUGCGGGAGAGGAAAGUGGAAUUCCUGGUGUAGCGGUGAAAUGCGUAGAUAUCAGGAGGAACACCGGUGGCGAAGGCGGGUCUCUGGGCCGAAAUUGACGCUGAGGAGCGAAAGCGUGGGGAGCAAACAGG
rnacentral:rRNA from 1 species